GACAGAGGGUGCAAACGUUGUUCGGAAUUACUGGGCGUAAAGCGCACGUAGGCGGAUCUUUAAGUCAGGGGUGAAAUCCUGGAGCUCAACUCCAGAACUGCCUUUGAUACUGGGGGAUCUCGAGUCCGGAAGAGGUGAGUGGAACUCCGAGUGUAGAGGUGAAAUUCGUAGAUAUUCGGAAGAACACCAGUGGCGAAGGCGGCUCACUGGUCCGGUACUGACGCUGAGGUGCGAAAGCGUGGGGAGCAAACAGG
rnacentral:rRNA from 1 species